rnacentral:rRNA from 1 species
GGACUACUCGGGUAUCUAAUCCUGUUCGCUCCCCAUGCUUUCGCUCCUCAGCGUCAGUUAUGCCCCAGAGACCCGCCUUCGCCACCGGUGUUCCUCCUGAUAUCUGCGCAUUUCACCGCUACACCAGGAAUUCCAGUCUCCCCUAGCACACUCUAGUCUGCCCGUACCCGAUGCAAGCUCAAGGUUAAGCCUUGAGUUUUCACACCAGACGCGACAGACCGCCUACGAGCUCUUUACGCCCAAUAAUUCCGGACAACGCUUGCACCCUACGUAUUACCGCGGCUGCUGGCAC